CAGGCAUCCGCCUUCCCUCCCCGCGGCCGGAGCUUACCGGCCGCGUUCGCCCUCCGCUCCGCGCCGGAGUGCCGCCCGCCGCCCCGCAGCCGGCAUCCCUGCUCCGCCCGUAGCCGCACCAGCACCAGCCGCCGCGACGCCCGGCAGCAGCGCCCGCCCCACGAGAGCGCAGCCCGGGCAGCGGGGGGACUCGCCCUCUCCGACUGACAGCGCCGCCAGCCAAUCGACGCCCGCGCCGCGCCGAGGAGGCGGGAGCGUGUCACGAGUAAGGGCCAAUCGGAGCGCGCCCCUCCGGCGGCGCUGUUUCCGGGAGGGGGCAGCCGAGGCGGGCGGCGGGGGUCGCCGCGGGUGUGAGGGGCCGGGUCGGGCCCGCAGAGCGCGGCGGUGCGGCUCGGUCGGGCCGGGCCCAGCAGGGCCGAUGCUGGGACAGGGCCUCGGCCUCUCCGGGAUGCACCGCAGCCGAGGCGGUGGCUGCUGGCAGCAGGAACGCGCGCGCUGGAGCCACUUCCCCAGCAGCUCCGGAACACCGGAGCGAGGCUGAGGGCUGUCCUGUCACGCGCGGGGCGCGUCGUCAUUCCCGGGUGUCCGCAGCAGCGCCGAACUUCACACUGGGGUGCUUUGUUCUGGGGAAAAAAGAAAAAAAAAAACAGAUUUGAAAAAAUUAUUUAUUUUCCUGGCGGAACCCGUGCAGGCUGGAGCUGCGCCCCGCGGCACAUCCGCGCCCCGCUGAGUGUCGCCGUCCUCAGAGGGCACUGCGGCCGCGUCCCCAACGGCUGCAACGGUCGCUGCCGCGCGCGAAGCCCGUGCUGCCCGCCCCGCCCCGCCCGGCAGCGCAGCCCGCGCUCCGCGUGCUCUGUGAGGGACCAUUGCGUUGUUCGCUGCCCCUGCAGCAAACAGCGGGCGUGAAGUGCUCGGAGGUACCGCAGUUCUCGGUGAACGUUGGCUCGGGUGGGGUACGGCUCCGUUGACACCGUGCAGCCCUUGAGUAAGGUACUGCGUUUGCUAGAGACGUGCUGCGAGGUCUGUGCCGCGUUUGCCAGGACUCGGACCAGAAGGUUUGUCACAGCUGAUGUCUCCGAACUUCACCUGCACCUUUGCGUACUUGGUUUGGCUGUAACAGCAAUCUCACCAACGGAGGAAGAAAUAUCAACACGAACAUCAUGUUCUUGCUGGCUGAGGACUCCACAUGCUCACAAUGUACUGUUGCCACCUUCUCACUCAUCUCCAGUCUGCAGUGCGUACCCCAACCGGUGGAUCCGGAGGAGCAGUGGAAGGGUGAACGUAACACCAAAAAUCUCCACCCUCCGUUCCAGUCUCUUUCUCUAAAAAACAAGCAAGGGGAUGUGACCAGCAGAGGGGAUGCGACUUGACAUGGAAUUCCAUUUUCUCAAAGGAUAUCUACCAGAAGUUAGGAUUCACAUCGCAAGGGACAAGUACUGCAAAGGUUAAGUAUGAACUCCCUAAUCUGCAGCCAUGUAAAUCUAGGGUAACUCCAUUGAAGUUGAUGGGAAUGAUGAGACAGAAGUAUUAAUGACAUAAUGCUGAUGGUACGAGUGUUCUUCAUUCCUGAGCUGAUCCUGUUUAAAAACUGCAUUCAACUACAGCAUUACAAGUCUCCAAUAAUGGAUGCUGAAAAAAUCCAGCAUUAGUAAAUGAACCUGGAGCAGCUUCAGUUGUGAUGGUGCCAGUAUUCAUGUAUUUUAGCUAUGGAUUCUAGCAUGUGUUCUAGUUGCAUGGAGUGGAGGAGAGACGAUGUCAGAACAGAAAUGGAAAACACAUUCCAGUGAAAAGGAGAAGUCUUGAUGUGGAUCCCUUUAAAGUUGCAUCUUCCAAAAUAAGUUUUCGACUGUGCUUCUCACCCUGAAAGUGGAGAAGAUUUCAUUACUAAUUGUACCAGAAGUAAGUUAUUUCAUCUACUGGAUAGAGAUACUGAUAAUACUGCCUAAAACUUGGAAGACAGAAUCUCAAGCAUUUCUUGGAUGAGCAGCUGAGUAAGUAGGAGAAACUAACAGGAGGCCUCAGCUUUCCAGACAGUUUUUAUGAAGCACUUGAAGUGAAAACUAAGGUAGAGCUAAACACUAUUAUUUUUUCAGAUUAUUACAUUCACAUUCAGAUGUGUCCAUAUUGUACUGUUCAAUUUUCAGUUAUGUGCACAGAGAGUCAUUGGGUUGUACAAAAUUACUGUGGAAGAGACUUGACAUGUAGUUUUCAGGAAAUGAUUAUGAAAUGUUCUGCAGGUCAGAGUAAGAAACACUUAUAAAUGGGGCUUUUAGAAGGAAAAAUCGAAGGAAGGAACACUUUUCAAAUACCAUUCUCAAUGGAGAUAACAACAAUAGCAGUAAUUUUUAACCUGGAGGAGUUCUACUAAGAAGUGGACAUGACAUCAUGUAGCUAAACAGAAAGAGCCUUAGCUAAAUCAACUCUGGACAUUUCCUGUGCAGAAGGACUCUAUAGCCCUGCAGUGAUAAGCUGCUGUAAAGAGUUAAAAUCCUGACAUUCAGCAUCAAUGAAAAGCUUACAUCAAACAUUGUUGAGUAAGACACAUACAAAUCAUUAAUUUGUUUUGUUGCUGGCAGUUUUCAUAGCUUUCUCUUCCUUUACCCCAAAUUUCCUCUUGUAUGAAUGACAUAGUAGGUUUUUUAUUUAAUUUUUAUUUACACUGUGUUGUGUUCCAAAAUAUAAUAUUACAAGUGCAACGCUACAAAGAAGAAAUGAAAUAUUCUCAGUUUUCUUCAAACAUUGUAUGGGGCUCCUCUAGCGUACUAUCCUCAUUUCUUGUCCCAGAAGAGAAGGGGAUUGGACUUUAUUGUAAGGACAGAAUGGUUGAAGAAAUUGUCCUUUUUAUCACCUCAUGCAGGUUGUUAAAUGUGGCCAUGAGAACUGUGAAAUCAAUGAAAUGCUUUCUUUUAUAUCUGAAGGAAGCUAUAGGUUUUUUUCAUUUUAUUUAGACAGCAAGUAGUCUUAUUGCUCAGUCUGUAACUGCAACAUACGAAUGUACAUCUAAAAUCUCAGGUUCAUUCAGUAUCAAUACUUGUUAUGACAAACUUGUGUAUAGGGAGUUCAAUGUUUUUUAUUGAAAAUGUAUUUUAAAAGGAAGUUGACUCUUCAUGUGCAACUUAAGGUACCCUGAACUGCUAGUACGAGUAACAAAUCUUAAAAAUCUUAUUUGCUUACAACAAAUCUUGUUUGCUUACUUAGAGGCUAAUCUGAUGUGCCUUCUAUUGAUUUAUGCAUAUUCUUGUG
rnacentral:lncRNA from 1 species